UGGGGAAUUUUGGACAAUGGGCGCAAGCCUGAUCCAGCAAUGCCGCGUGCAGGAUGAAGGCCUUCGGGUUGUAAACUGCUUUUGUACGGAACGAAACGGUCUUUUCUAAUACAGAAGGCUAAUGACGGUACCGUAAGAAUAAGCACCGGCUAACUACGUGCCAGCAGCCGCGGUAAUACGUAGGGUGCAAGCGUUAAUCGGAAUUACUGGGCGUAAAGCGUGCGCAGGCGGUUAUGCAAGACAGAGGUGAAAUCCCCGGGCUCAACCUGGGAACUGCCUUUGUGACUGCAUAGCUAGAGUACGGUAGAGGGGGAUGGAAUUCCGCGUGUAGCAGUGAAAUGCGUAGAUAUGUGGAGGAACACCGAUGGCGAAGGCAGCCCCCUGGGUCAAGAUUGACGCUCAUGCACGAAAGCGUGGGGAGCAAACA
rnacentral:rRNA from 1 species